AGAGUUUGAUCCUGGCUCAGGAUGAACGCUGGCGGCGUGCUUAACACAUGCAAGUCGAACGAUCCUUCGGGAUAGUGGCGGACGGGUGAGUAACGCGUGGGAAUCUGCCCUCAGGAGGGGGAUAACGGCUGGAAACGGCCGCUAAUACCCCAUAUGCCGAGAGGUGAAAUGAAUUUCGCCUGAGGAUGAGCCCGCGUCUGAUUAGCUAGUUGGUGGGGUAAAGGCCUACCAAGGCAACGAUCAGUAGCUGGUCUGAGAGGAUGAUCAGCCACACUGGGACUGAGACACGGCCCAGACUCCUACGGGAGGCAGCAGUGGGGAAUUUUCCGCAAUGGGCGAAAGCCUGACGGAGCAACGCCGCGUGAGGGAUGAAGGCCUCUGGGCUGUAAACCUCUUUUCUCAAGGAAGAAGACCUGACGGUACUUGAGGAAUAAGCCACGGCUAAUUCCGUGCCAGCAGCCGCGGUAAUACGGGAGUGGCAAGCGUUAUCCGGAAUUAUUGGGCGUAAAGCGUCCGCAGGCGGCCUUGUAAGUCUGUUGUUAAAGCGUGGAGCUCAACUCCAUUUAAGCAAUGGAAACUACAAGGCUGGAGUGUGGUAGGGGCAGAGGGAAUUCCCGGUGUAGCGGUGAAAUGCGUAGAUAUCGGGAAGAACACCAGUGGCGAAGGCGCUCUGCUGGGCCAUAACUGACGCUCAUGGACGAAAGCCAGGGGAGCGAAAGGGAUUAGAUACCCCUGUAGUCCUGGCCGUAAACGAUGAACACUAGGUGUCGGGGGAAUCGACCCCCUCGGUGUCGUAGCCAACGCGUUAAGUGUUCCGCCUGGGGAGUACGCACGCAAGUGUGAAACUCAAAGGAAUUGACGGGGGCCCGCACAAGCGGUGGAGUAUGUGGUUUAAUUCGAUGCAACGCGAAGAACCUUACCAGGGUUUGACAUCCUGCGAACCCCUGAGAAAUCGGGGGGUGCCUUCGGGAGCGCAGAGACAGGUGGUGCAUGGCUGUCGUCAGCUCGUGUCGUGAGAUGUUGGGUUAAGUCCCGCAACGAGCGCAACCCACGUCUUUAGUUGCCAGCAUUCAGUUGGGCACUCUAGAGAGACCGCCGGUGAUAAACCGGAGGAAGGUGUGGAUGACGUCAAGUCAUCAUGCCCCUUACAUCCUGGGCUACACACGUACUACAAUGCUACGGACAAAGGGCAGCAAGCUCGCGAGAGUUAGCAAAUCCCAUAAACCGUGGCUCAGUUCAGAUCGUAGGCUGCAACUCGCCUACGUGAAGGAGGAAUCGCUAGUAAUCGCAGGUCAGCAUACUGCGGUGAAUACGUUCCCGGGCCUUGUACACACCGCCCGUCACACCAUGGAAGUUGGCCAUGCCCGAAGCCGUUACUCCAACCCUUGUGGAGGAGGACGCCGAAGGUGGGGCUGAUGACUGGGGUGAA
rnacentral:rRNA from 1 species